rnacentral:rRNA from 1 species
ACAGAAUGACUGGAAGAAGCGUAGUAGGCGGUCAAGCAAGUCAGAUAUCACGCGCGGGACUAACUCGGCUGCUCAUUUGAUCCGCGUGCUUGCGAGCAGGAGAUGAAAGCGGAAUGCUUCGUGUAGCGGUGAAAUGCGUAGAUAUUAGGAGGAGCACCAGUGCCGCAGGCGGCUUUCGGACUGUAACUGACACUGAGGCACGAAAGCGUGGGGAGCAAACAGGAUUAGAUACCCUGGUAGUCCACGCUGUAAACGAUGGAUACUAGGUGUGGGGGAGAUACAACAUCCGUGCCGCAGCAAACGCAAUAAGUAUCCCGCCUGGGGAGUACGGCCGCAAGGGUGUAACUCAAAGGAAUUGACGGGGACUCGCACAAGCAGCGGAGCAUGUGGUUUAAUUUGAAGCAACGCGAAGAACCUUAUCAAGGCUUGACAUCCCUUGACCGCUAUGGAAACAUAGCUUCCCUUCGGGGCAAGGAGACAGCUGGUGCAUGGUUGUCGUCAGCUCGUGUCGUGAGAUGUUGGGUUAAGUCCCGCAACGAGCGCAACCCUUAUCAUUAGUUGCCAGCGCGUAAAGGCGGGAACUCUAAUGAGACUGCCGGGGAUAACUCGGAGGAAGGUGGGGACGACGUCAAAUCAUCAUGCCCCUUAUGUCUUGGGCUACACACGUGCUACAAUGGCCGGUACAGAGGGCUGCGAAGCCGCAAGGUGGAGCGAAUCCCAAAAAGCCGGUCCCAGUUCGGAUUGUGGGCUGCAACCCGCCCACAUGAAGCCGGAGUUGCUAGUAAUCGCGAAUCAGC